rnacentral:rRNA from 1 species
UACAGAGGGUGCGAGCGUUAAUCGGAAUUACUGGGCGUAAAGCGCGCGUAGGCGGUUAUACAAGUUGAGUGUGAAAUCCCUGGGCUUAACCUAGGAAUUGCAUUCAAAACUAUAUGACUUGAGUGAAGUAGAGGUGAGUGGAAUUUCCGGAGUAGCGGUGAAAUGCGUAGAUACCGGAAGGAACACCAGUGGCGAAGGCGACUCACUGGGCUUUAACUGACGCUGAGGUGCGAAAGCGUGGGGAGCAAACAGG